GAAACAGUUGCUAAGACUGGAUAGGAAAUAAAAAGGCAUCUUUUUAUUUUUAAAAGACCUUUUUCGGAAGGUAUGCUUAAAGAGGGGCUUGCGUCACAUUAGUUAGUUGGCAGGGUAAAGGCCUACCAAGACUAUGAUGUGUAGCUGGACUGAGAGGUUGAACAGCCACAUUGGGACUGAGACACGGCCCAAACUCCUACGGGAGGCAGCAGUAGGGAAUUUUCGGCAAUGGAGGAAACUCUGACCGAGCAACGCCGCGUGAACGAUGAAGUAUUUCGGUAUGUAAAGUUCUUUUAUUGAAGAAGAAAAAAUAGUGGAAAAACUAUCUUGACGAUAUUCAAUGAAUAAGCCCCGGCAAACUAUGUGCCAGCAGCCGCGGUAAUACAUAGGGGGCGAGCGUUAUCCGGAAUUAUUGGGCGUAAAGGGUGCGUAGGCGGUUUAAUAAGUCUAUAGUUUAAUUUCAGUGCUUAACACUGUCCUGCUAUAGAAACUAUUAGACUAGAGUGAGAUAGAGGCAAGUGGAAUUCCAUGUGUAGCGGUAAAAUGCGUAAAUAUAUGGAGGAACACCAGAGGCGUAGGCGGCUUGCUGGGUCUUUACUGACGCUGAGGCACGAAAGCGUGGGGAGCAAACAGGAUUAGAUACCCUGGUAGUCCACGCCGUAAACGAUGAGUACUAAGUGUCGGGAUUACUCGGUACUGAAGUUAACACAUUAAGUACUCCGCCUGAGUAGUACGUACGCAAGUAUGAAACUUAAAGGAAUUGACGGGACUCCGCACAAGCGGUGGAUCAUGUUGUUUAAUUCGAAGAUACACGAAAAACCUUACCAGGUCUUGACAUACUCUGCAAAGCUAUAGCAAUAUAGUGGAGGUUAUCAGGGAUACAGGUGGUGCAUGGUUGUCGUCAGCUCGUGUCGUGAGAUGUUAGGUUAAGUCCUAAAACGAGCGCAACCCUUGUCAUUAGUUGCCAGCAUGUCAUGAUGGGCACUUUAAUGAGACUGCCAAUGAAAAAUUGGAGGAAGGUGAGGAUCACGUCAAAUCAUCAUGCCCCUUAUGAUCUGGGCUACAAACGUGAUACAAUGGCUGUUACAAAGAGUAGCUGAAACGCAAGUUUAUAGCCAAUCUCAUAAAAGCAGUCUCAGUUCGGAUUGAAGUCUGCAACUCGACUUCAUGAAGUUGGAAUCGCUAGUAAUCGCGAAUCAGCAUGUCGCGGUGAAUACGUUCUCGGGGUUUGUACACACCGCCCGUC
rnacentral:rRNA from 1 species